UACUGCUAGUACCGUUCCCUAUUUAACAUAUGGCCCACAAAGUGAACAACGUACGCACUGAGAAGCCGGCCAGAUGAAUAUGCACCGUUCUUCUUCCCUCGCAUUAGCUAUGGCGUUCCUAGCUAUCGUUUACUGUUUCAUGCCGUCGCCAUGCUCAGCAGCGGUCCAAGAAGGUGUAGCUGUUCUGGACGGAUCCCGUACGCAAAUCAUUGGACCUCCGUCGCCGCGGUACGGGCCGCCGAGGCAGCCAGGCUAUGAGCCCCCGGCCGCUGCCGCCACUUAUGCCACACCGUAAGACCAUGUAGGUGGCUGCUAAGGCCCCUCACGCAUAAAGCAGGCCGAAAAAUCAGAGUGUAUACAGUGAUAAAUAAAAUCCAGACGAUUAACUACUGAGAAGUUGUGAUAUUAUUUAUUAGUUGUGAAAGUUAUGAAUAAAGCUAUGUUGUUAUGUUCGUAUGAAUAAGCUAUCAGUCAUAUAGGAUAACAUGUGUCUAAUUGACUUGUCUGUGCUCUAUACCCGAAUCGUCUGUACACCUUCCAUUGUAUAAUUUAGUCGGACACACGGUAGAGGUCUUUUUUCAAGUGCCUUUUGCCGAGUGAAGCACACAUGAAAGUCUUCACCUAGCGAAGAUCAAUCUAUUUUAUUAUUGAACUAAGAUCAAGAGCACGUCAAUUAAUUGAUUCUAUUCACAAUCAUGUCAGUUGCUUCUAUUCACAAUCUACCGUGCAUGAAUUUAGAGGACGAAAAGAUCCACCAUUUUGGCAACUCUUCCAUACAAUUUCCUCAGAAUGUCAUGCAUGGAUGGCUCCCAUGUGCAUGGUCUUUCAAAGUUAGAAACACCCAGAAAAAAAAUACAAAACUUAAAACAAAAACAAACUUUUUUCUAGGCAAGAGUGAAUUAAGGGCAUUGGUAUCACCCUAAAAAAUACAUACAAAAAUUGAUGACUCAAAUUGGCAAACAAUAAGCAAAAAAAUUGCAUUGUUCCUUAAUACGGAAAAUAAGGUAUAGUAAAGAGACUUUCACACAAUAGUAUGAUGUGCACAUAGGCCGCACAAAACUUGAGUGUGUAUAAUUUUAUCUUAUAUCUAGCAUUCACACUUGUCGUGGAGUUGACACGACAGAUGUUCUAGAGCAAGGAGUUAGUCGUAGGGCCAUCGCACUAGGAAACUUAAAGGGGUUAACCGGGACAAAGGACACACAAGAGAUUUUUUAUACUAGUUCGGCCCCUUACGAUGAAGGUAAAAGUCUGCGUCUAGUUGGGAUUGGUAUUGCUGAAGUUUCGAUCUCCAAGGGGCUCAACUCGCCGGCUUGGUUAUCGACUUGGUUGUUUCUUCCCCUAAGCCGUCACCGGGUCGUCCCCUUAUAUACAUGGGUUGACGUCUGGUGGCCUACAGAGUCCCGGCCGGCUCAUAACCGUGUCCGGCUCAGUGACUUCCUUUACAUGUCUUUCUUUACAAGUCUUUCCUUACAUACGGCGGUUUACAAUAUCGGGCCUUAAGCCGGCCCCAGGCCUUUGGGCCUUCUAUAUGUUUAAUAAACUAUCAUCUUGAAUGUAUAUUGGGCUUCUUAUGUAACCCACCAUUAGGGUUGACCCGGCCCCUCCUGGGCGGGUCAUACUGAUAGUAAUAUCCGCAACAUUAGGCCCCAGGUUGACUUUGAACUUUGUUCUUUGUCAAUCUUCAAUACUUAGAUGAAAUCCAUCUUCUGUCUGAAAAAACUCUGUAACCCGCCGUGACGUCAUCUUUUGAAAACACAAAAAACUUUCAUGACGUUAUCUUCCAACGGAUCUUUUAUCUUUAAUGCUUCCCGAGAAUCAAGGCGUCUAUAUAGCUGGAUAACCAUUAUUUGGUUCUCCCUUGAUUUUCGCGCCCGUCUGUUCGCAUCUGCCCUUAUAAAUAGGCACGCGGCCAGUUUUUCUCAUUCUCCCCUCUCCUUCAUCUUCUUUCUCUCGCCAUCUCAGCUACUGCUCGAGCUCCGCCGCCGCCGCAACGCUCAUCCUCGUCCUCGAGCCUGGCCGCUACAUCACCCUGAACUGUCCAGAUAAACGGCGACGACCCUCCGCAGCGAAUCCGCAUCCGUAAGUCUUAUCUUCUCAAACUUUUUAGAUUUGCAUUAGGGAUUGCGAGUUCAUCGGUGUUCUUCACCGUUCUUCAUGAACCUUCUUAGUAGUUCUUCCUCCGCAGCCUCUCUUGAUCCAAAGAGGAGAUAUAACUCGCGCGGUAGUUGUUUUGCGUCCAUUUUUGAUAGCAGUAGAUCCCUUUUUCCUGUAUAGAUGCUUCAUUAUAGCCGACGAACCCAUUUGUACUAGAUUUUUAGGUCUAGAAUAUUUUUCUUUUCAGAACGGCCAUUUGAUCCAAAAUAAUAAUGACAGCUUGGUAAAACUUGUUUAUGCCAAUACUUAGCUGAAUCUGCUUUCUGAAAAAAUUUGUAGUCAUGGCGGCUUACCGCUCCGGCUUUCUUUUCCUUAUAUUUCAUUAGCCCUUAGUUAAGCCGCCAUUACUUGUUUUACAUCUUCGGCCUUUAACUGUUAUCCUGACCAUAAACUGAACCGGCAUGUUGUUAUUUCUUUUUCAAUUCCUUGCACAUCAUGCUGUCAAAGACACCCACCAUCUGUAAUUGGGUCCCCUCAACCAUAACCGAGGAUCGUUUAAAAGAGUUCUUCCUCAUUGGGUUUCUGCCCUCAAAAAGCAUCAUGUCUUAUCGUGCUCCUCACCCGGAAGAAGAACGACCCAAUCCGAAAGACGGCGAAGUGAUCGUCUUUACUGGCCACAUGAACCGUGGCUUCUCACCGCCCGGUUCAAAGUUUUUCAGAGAAGCUCUUCACUUUUUCAAACUCCAUCCUCAGGAUAUUGGGCCCAAUUCCAUAUCCAAUAUUUGUAACUUCCAAGUGCUCUGUGAGGUAUAUCUUCAGCAAGAGCCGACUGUGGAGCUAUUUAGAGAAUACUUCUAUCUGAACCGGCAGAACGAGUGCACCAACGGCCUUAGCUUAGAACUUGAAGGCAUCUCAAUUCAGUGUCGGUAGGGUGUUGUCUUCCCUCUCAUAGUUUUACCAAGUCACUCAAAGGACUGGAACCAAACUUGGUUUUACGGUCAGGACAUCUCACCCGCCAACGAGAAGCCACUGCCGGGUUACCGCCCCGAUCGUCUUGACUCCAAGUUCACACUGCCAGAUAAACUUACCAUUGCUGAACGCAAGAAGCUGCUUCCAUCUAUCAGAAGAAUCAACGGUUUGUUGGGGAACGGUUUAACCGGAGUCGAUCUAACCCACUGCUGGAUCUCAUGGCGGAUUAUUCCAUUAAGUCGUCGUUCAAAAUUGAUGUAUGAAUAUGGUGGAGACCCGGACGACUCUCUUCGUCAUACUCCGGUUCAACUAACCGAGGAGGACAUUGUCUCAAUGUCAAACCUUCUGGUGAAUGCGAAGUAUGAAUAUUGCAGUGUUGUUGGGUUAAAUCCCUUCUAUAAACUUAACCCGGUACCAAAAGUAAGGAUAUUCUGAUCUUUCUUCCUUUGUAUUUUGUCCAGCCGUAUUGUUUAUCACUGAUCCGUCCUCUUGUCUUUGUAGGCCAACUCUGACUUUUGGAAAGUGAAAUAUGAUCACGAAGCUACCAAGAAGGCGAAACUCGCCGCCAUGAACGCCAAGAAAUUGACCCGGAGAUCGAAGAAGAAAAAGAAGACCACUGCUGAAGAUUUAAUGAAACUUGAUGACACGUCUGACUCGGAGGAUGACACUGGGCCAGUCAGGCCGGGGAAGCAGAGCAACAUGAAAGCCGCCGUGAAGUUGGGAUUGAAGAUGAACCGGCUAUCGUCCUUCAACAGACCCCUCGGAAAUGCCCGAACGAGGAGGUGUCUUGUUCUUCAGGCGACUCAUCACAAACACAAUUUCCGGCUUUCAAGACUGCUCCUGGUGGUCAGGCUAAAUCCAACAAGACGAAGGCGGCUAAACCGGCGGAAGACCCGCCAGUGCUAGCAUCUGAACCGGCUAGGCCGCCUUCUCCAUUGAAUAACGCUCCAGAACACCCGCCUAUUGACAAUGAGGAAAACCCUCCUGAGCCGACUUUUGACGAAGCCAUUAUGAAUCCUUCUAUAGCUGGACCGUCAAGCUCAACCAACCUGCCGUAUCCACCUGCUCAAGAUGUUCAAAUUACUGGGAGCCGCUUUGUUGAGCCGGGGAACCCAACGGUGCUGGCUUGGUGCACAACAAAGCAAGAAGCAUUGGAGAGGCAGAAGGUUCGCUUUGAUGUUGCCAACUAUGACCGUCUCAAUGCUAGUGAUAUCUUAUCCGGCUAUCUCAGUCAUGUACACUCCAGUCGUGAGUCUGAGAUCGAGAUGGUCAAGCAGCUUCAGUUGAAGUAUGAGAAUGCCUUGUCGGAAUUGAACUCUCAAUUGACUCACGCAAAGACCCGGCUAGCGAGUCAGGAGUCAGAAAUCAAAUCUUCCACUUCCAAACUGCAAAAUAAGCCUUUCUGCAAUGGAAAAUUUGAAGACCAGCUUUGCUGCCAAGGAGAAGACUUGGGAAAAUGAGAAAACACUUCUGACCCGACGAGCUGAGACAGCCGAAACAGAUCUGAAAGAAAUUUCAACAGAGCUGAACGGAUUAAAGGGCCGAGUGUCUUAGAUGGUUGCUGCUAUCUUUGGUCCGCGAAGUAAGAAUCUGAGCCAAGACCCGUUGAUUAAGCUGAAGGCAGUAUAUAAUUUGGUUGAACAAUUGUAUAUCGGCGCACAACGGGCUCUGGCUUCCAUCUGUCAUGCCAAUCAAGGACCCAACCGGCUCAGCGACGUCCUGAAGAAGCUGUCCAUCCUUCCUGCCAGGUUUCAAGAAGUAAAACGCUCCUGCGCACGAGCCGGAGCUUUGACUGCCCUAAGCCACUCCAAGGCUUGGGUGCCAGACCUAGACCCGGCGGACGUAGCAAGAGACUAUCCUACCAUGAAGGAGGACGGGUCUCCUUUUGAUCAGGAUGACUUCAUAGCCUGCGUCCGUGAAGUCCGGCCUCAGGCGACUGGUCUUGGAGAUGACACCAAUGUGGACAAGUACCAGCCGGGUUUUGAUAGUGAGAAUAAGAAGAUGGCCCCUCCCUCAUAUAAAGGAACAUACUUGAUCCCACCAGUGAGAGAAGAUACAUUUGCCCCAGAGGUUGACCCGGUCGGCUUAAUUGACGACGAAGCCAAAUUUGUCGCCAUGAACGGCUUUGAUUGGUCAAAACCCAACUUCCAGCAGACUCAAGAUGGUGAACCGGCGAGGGAGGGACAAUGCUCAUCUUCAUGGGUUUAUAAAGCCUUGUAAUAGCUUAGCUGUUAAAACCGUUGCUAAAGUUCGUCGUUUCGAAGCACCACGUGAUGAUCGGGUGUGAUAGAUCCUUACGUUCACAUACAACGGGUGUAAGACAGUUUUACACAUGCAAAACACUUAGGGUUAACUUGACGAGCCUAGCAUGUACAGACAUGACCUCGGAACACAAGAGACCGAAAGGACGAGCAUGAGUCGUAUGGUAGAUACGAUCAACAUGAAUAUGUUCACC
rnacentral:rRNA from 1 species